AUUUCUCUAAGCCAGAUGAAUAGUGUAGUAUUGUAUUGUAUAUUGCAAUUAUCAGCUUAAUAUCUGAUACGGUUCUUAUUGAGAACCCAGUAUAUUAAUCUGAUUUUUGGAAAUUGGUCGAGUCCCGGAGCUUGCUCCGGUUUGACCACGAGUUGCCCUGUCAUUGCAGUACAGGCGGGAGCAGCUCAAUCAAC